CCUACGGGAGGCUGCAGUGAGGAAUAUUGGUCAAUGGACGAGAGUCUGAACCAGCCAAGUAGCGUGAAGGAUGACUGCCCUAUGGGUUGUAAACUUCUUUUAUAUGGGAAUAAAACGUUCCACGUGUGGGAUUUUGUAUGUACCAUAUGAAUAAGGAUCGGCUAACUCCGUGCCAGCAGCCGCGGUAAUACGGAGGAUCCGAGCGUUAUCCGGAUUUAUUGGGUUUAAAGGGAGCGUAGGUGGAUUGUUAAGUCAGUUGUGAAAGUUUGCGGCUCAACCGUAAAAUUGCAGUUGAAACUGGCAGUCUUGAGUACAGUAGAGGUGGGCGGAAUUCGUGGUGUAGCGGUGAAAUGUUUAGAUAUCACGAAGAACUCCGAUUGCGAAGGCAGUUCACUGGACUGCAACUGACACUGAGGCUCGAAAGUGUGGGUAUCAAACAGGAUUAGAUACCCCUGUAGUC
rnacentral:rRNA from 1 species